rnacentral:rRNA from 1 species
CGAAAGCCUGACGGAGCAAUACCGCGUGAGGGAGGAAGGCUCUUGGGUUGUAAACCUCUUUUCUCAGGGAAGAAAAAAAUGACGGUACCUGAGGAAUAAGCAUCGGCUAACUCCGUGCCAGCAGCCGCGGUAAUACGGAGGAUGCAAGCGUUAUCCGGAAUGAUUGGGCGUAAAGCGUCCGCAGGUGGCAAUGUAAGUCUGCUGUUAAAGAGUCUAGCUCAACUAGAUAAAGGCAGUGGAAACUACAUAGCUAGAGUGCGUUCGGGGUAGAGGGAAUUCCUGGUGUAGCGGUGAAAUGCGUAGAUAUCAGGAAGAACACCGGUGGCGAAGGCGCUCUACUAGGCCGCAACUGACACUGAGGGACGAAAGCUAGGGGAGCGAAUGGGAUUAGAUACCCCAGUAGUCCUAGCCGUAAACGAUGGAUACUAGGCGUGGCUUGUAUCGACCCGAGCCGUGCCGGAGCUAACGCGUUAAGUAUCCCGCCUGGGGAGUACGCACGCAAGUGUGAAACUCAAAGGAAUUGACGGGGGCCCGCACAAGCGGUGGAGUAUGUGGUUUAAUUCGAUGCAACGCGAAGAACCUUACCAAGGCUUGACAUGUCGCGAAUUUCGGUGAAAGCUGAAAGUGCCUUAGGGAGCGCGAACACAGGUGGUGCAUGGCUGUCGUCAGCUCGUGUCGUGAGAUGUUGGGUUAAGUCCCGCAACGAGCGCAACCCUCGUUUCUAGUUGCCAGCAAUAAGAUGGGAACUCUAGAGAGACUGCCGGUGACAAACCGGAGGAAGGUGGGGAUGACGUCAAGUCAGCAUGCCCCUUACGCCUUGGGCUACACACGUACUACAAUGCUACGGACAAAGGGCAGCUACACAGCGAUGUGAUGCAAAUCUCGUAAACCGUAGCUCAGUUCAGAUCGAAGGCUGCAACUCGCCUUCGUGAAGGAGGAAUCGCUAGUAAUUGCAGGUCAGCAUACUGCAGUGAAUUCGUUCCCGGGCCUUGUACACACCGCCCGUCACACCAUGGAAGUCGGUCACGCCCGAAGUCAUUACCCCAACCCUUUUGGAGGGGGAUGCCUAAAGUAGGACUGGUGACUGGGGUGAAUCU